UUUUUCCGAGCCGCCACUCGUAGCUCCGUAGAUCGAUCGCCGAAGUUUUGGAUCUCGUUCCGGCGAACUUUUCCGGUGAACAUUCGGCGAGCGUUUCCGGUUAUCUCCGGCAUCUCCUACGGAAACCGUCACCAUCCCGAGGUUCGUCUCAUCGUCCUCUACACCGGUACGCCAUUUGUUUCGCAAAUCCAUGUCGGUUUGGCCGGUUCCCUUCCCCUUCUCUCUUCUGCGACGAACUUUACUGUGAUUUUCUAAAUCUCCGGCCAUGGCCGCGGCCCUCCUCGCCUCGGGCCAAGCGCUGCUCCCCGACCCUAACCACACCACCACGUCGAGCCCCGCGCUGUGCGUGCCUCCCUUGCGUGCUGCGCAAACAGCCGCCGGCGCCGCUCACGGCCGCAGAGCCGGCUCUGUGUGGCCCGUGCAGGUCGUCGUGCGGGCCCUUGCCCCGACCCUGCGCGUGGGUCAUCCGGCCGCAUGCCGCUGCGCCGCCGGCCUGGCCAAGUCUCGGCCGAGCCCUCCCUUCCCGGUGCCCAGUAGCUGCUGCUUCCGAUCUUCUAAUUGGCCACUGCGUUCACGAACAGGACACAAGGUUGAAGAUGAUGGUAUUUACAAGUUUGCCAUUGUCCUUUAAUUAUUCAUCAUUUAAUCAUCCUAAUUCCGAUUCGAAUCGUUCCAGUUGCGUUAGAUUUGUGUCGUCGUGUUCUACGCAGCAGUGCAAAUAUUUAUUAUAUGACUCGUUUAUACAUUUAUUGAUUUAAAUAUAAUUUGUUUAAUAUUUUUUAAUAACUUUAUAAUUAAAAGUCAAUAGGUUUAUAAUUUGGUUCUCGUUGUAUUGCGAUCAUGCCGGUGUAAACUACGUGUUAGAGACGCUGUUUUCUAUGUCUUAUAUUUUUUAAUAUGGUUAAUUUGUUUAAUUUUUAUUGAGUGCUCUUUUAAUUAAUUGAAAACCUUUAGGGUUUACACUUCAGUCUUUUUAUAGUCAAAUAUUAACUUGAUUAAUAUUAACUUAAAUGUUUCUUAAUUAUAGUUCAUUUAGUUAAAUAUGAAGCAUGUAAUUAAUUUAGUUAAUAUCUAUCUAAUGUAUCUUGGAUUAAAAGCGACUUAGUUAUAUAGUUUAGUCUUUAAAUAAAGAAUGUUAAUAUAAUUAAUAUCAACCUAAAUGAAUUUUCAAUUAUGAUCUGUUUAGAUUAACUUUUGAAAAUAAAUAGUGAUUCUAAUUAAGUUGCUCUCACUCGUUUUAUAUUCUCUGAGCUAUAAAUGCUAAAAUAGUUUAAAUAAUUUCUAUAAUUAUUUAUAAAUAGAGUAUGACUAGAACUAUACUUCGUCUUUUAUAAUUAUAAUUUGUUUAAUUCCACUUUUUGAGUUAUUUCUCUAAAAAAAGUCUAUCACCUCUUUUCAUCAAAUAAAAUAGAUCAAGCGAAUAGUUGAUCUUCUUCGUUGCACUUCGAACCUCGAAAGUUGUGUCCGUUUAACGAUAGCUUCGUUCCCAAUCGUUCUUGCGUUGCCACGAUCGUAGCAAUAAGUCAUGUCGUUUAGUGCGCUCUUUCUAAGCUUUUCUUUUGAUUGAUGUCUGUUCUUAGUCAUGUUUGUUUGUCUGUUUGUGUUGCUUGGUUGCUACGAGUAGAAGAAUCGUGGUUCGUCAACAGUAAAGACCAGGAGCUAAGGACCGACAGUCGAAGCAGAAGUUGGAGAUCAGGAGAAAGAAGCUAAAGAAUUCUGAGCAGUUGUACACUGGGAAUAAAG
rnacentral:lncRNA from 1 species